UGGUGCUAUGUGUGGGAUAUCAUCAUAUACUGUAAGUUUGUUAUAAGACACUACAGUAUAGAUGAUGUACUAUACCAAACCUCAC